rnacentral:rRNA from 1 species
GACGAACGCUGGCGGCGUGCCUAAUACAUGCAAGUAGAACGCUGAAGGAGGAGCUUGCUUCUCUGGAUGAGUUGCGAACGGGUGAGUAACGCGUAGGUAACCUGCCUGGUAGCGGGGGAUAACUAUUGGAAACGAUAGCUAAUACCGCAUAAGAGUAGAUGUUGCAUGAUAUUUGCUUAAAAGGUGCAAUUGCAUCACUACCAGAUGGACCUGCGUUGUAUUAGCUAGUUGGUGGGGUAACGGCUCACCAAGGCGACGAUACAUAGCCGACCUGAGAGGGUGAUCGGCCACACUGGGACUGAGACACGGCCCAGACUCCUACGGGAGGCAGCAGUAGGGAAUCUUCGGCAAUGGACGGAAGUCUGACCGAGCAACGCCGCGUGAGUGAAGAAGGUUUUCGGAUCGUAAAGCUCUGUUGUAAGAGAAGAACGAGUGUGAGAGUGGAAAGUUCACACUGUGACGGUAUCUUACCAGAAAGGGACGGCUAACUACGUG